rnacentral:lncRNA from 1 species
AAUAUUAUUAGCAUUCCAAUAUGUUUGCAGCAUUAAUUGUGCUGCUUGUACCCAUAGAAAUUCGUUAAGGAACAGCAUAUUCUAAUUUGAUAUGUUCUAUCCCUCCCCUUGUUUUGUCUUUCGAAGUCUUCUUAUGAUCACCGCUCGAUAAAAAAAAGAAGAAAAGCUGCUGGGCAAACAUGAAGGAGCCAGGGGGAGAGAAAAGAAGAAAAAGAAGGCAAAAACUGCAAUGUUAACAUCGCCAGCACUACCCCACUGGCAUGCACUAUCUUAUAAAUAAUCCUGUUGUAUAACCUCUUCUGAACGGGCA